rnacentral:lncRNA from 1 species
AUGGGACCAGGUGUUACCAAUUACAGUAUAAUCUUCAGUUUAUUGCCUAUCCCCCGGGGAACACGCAGGCUUGGCCAUUCCGUUUUUAUCUUGAGGCCUGGCCUUCGACAGAUGUGCCCCCAGCCGCAGCGGGUCUGUGUUCGCGGCUUCCGCACUGACUCCCUCAGACCUAUCCUGUCUGCCCGUCUGAUAUUUUUACCCAACUCAGCUGUCUGUACUAAAACGCCUGCGAGGACCUCCUCUUGGCCACGCAGAGCGGCUCACAGGAAUGGGCCUUGGAUUCAGAUGACCCAGUGCUGGGAGUCCCAAACCUGAUCUUAUCCAUCAUCCUUGAGCUUCAGAUUUCUCAUCUGUAAAAUGAGAGCAAGAGCCCCUCCACCCGGCUCCUUGGGGUACUGAAGUAGGUACAAGUCCCCCACCCAUUCUGCCUUUCGUCCCAGUGGGGUAGGGACCAACUCCCACCUCCACACACCAUCUCCCCCUUCUCUGCCGAUUCUGAAAGUCCCAAGUGGGCGGGCUGUAGUGGUGCACACCUGUAAUCUCAGCACACGGGAGGCUGAGGCAGGAGGAUCGCCCUGAGUUCAAAACCAGCCUGGGCUACCUAGUGAGUUCAAGACCAGCCUGAACUACAUAGCGAGAUCCUGUUUCAAAAAACCGAAAAGUUUCCACCGCCUGCCCUGCAAGCGCAAGGACCUGAGUUCGAUCCCCGGUACCAAAACAAACAAACAAAAAACCCCGAAAAGUCCCGGCAGUUACUCCCAGGACUCCUAAAUCCUGGUUUCUUUUGAGCAAACGGAGGUGACGGGGUGGGGGGGUGGGGUGGGGGUUGACGGCAGGAAGCCUGGGGGAGUAGCGCCCCCUGGCGGCCAGUUGCAGGAGGCCCUGAGGACAGGCCCGGGGUAACUGGAGAGCGCUAGUGGGGAGGCUCGGGGCCAUCAGGGUCCGGCUGAGGGACUUCCCUUCCUAGCAGGGAGAAGCCUGUUCCCCCGGUAGUGCCUCUUCGCUUUCCGCUUGGCCCAGCUUCACCGGGCUCCUCUCCCUUCUGCCGCGGAGGACUCAACACAGUCGCUAUGUAUACAGCGCUCUUCGGUUUACACAGCCCACACCCCGCAAGGUCGAGACGGGCUGUUUCUGUUUCCGGGUGGUGCCAGUACUGGACGGGUGGAUGGAUGCGGAAUCCUGGUUUGGAGCGUGGCUCCCGGCUGGCUUGGGUUUGGGAGCCUCCAACCAGCUUUGUAGCCAGGACAACGUCUAAAACUUUGACCAGUGGAACAGACACCGGCCAAUCAGAGCCAAGCCUGAGGCAAACACCAGCCACAGCCAAAUCCCAGUCCCCCUUCAGCCCGAAUGGAACUCGGGAAGAGGGACCAUGAUAGGACCGCCUCCUAGGGUUUCUGCAUAACUCAGUGCGUGUAAGGGCUUGCUGAGUGUGUCGGGCACGUAGCACUCAGUAAGUGGCACUUUUAUUACCAGUCCUGCCUCUUCUGACUCACGGUGAUUGUCACCUUUAUGGGAGAGUCCUCAGCUGAGCCCAGUGUAUGCACCCAGGGGCUUCCCACCUCCUUUUUUGUUGUUUUGUUUUGCUUUGUUUUGUUUUGAGACAGUCUUGCUGGGCAUGGUGGUGCAUGCCUGUUAAUUCCAGCCCUCAGGAGGCUAAGGGCAGGAGGAUCACUGUGAGUUCAAAGCCAGCGUAAACCAAAUAGCAGGACCCUGCCUUUUUUUUUUUUUUGUACGGGGGAUCGAACUUGUGCCCUUGCACUUCCGCAGCAGGCGGCAAAACCACUGAGCUAAAUCCCUGGCUGACCCUGCCUUUUUGAUGUUUUGUUUUUGAGACAGCGUCUCACUAUGAAAUUCAGGCUGGCCUUGAAUUCAUUAUGUAGCCCAAGUUAGCCUCAAAUUUGUGGCAAUCCUCCUGCCUCAGCUUUCCGAGUCCUGGGAUUACAGGGAUGCACCAUCACGCCCAGCCCCCACCUUCCUCCUGGCUUGUCUCUGCUCCCCCCUGGUGGGUCUCAGAUCUCUGGCCAUCCACUCUCCUGCCUCUCUCAGCCCUGAGGGCAGCACUUCCGGUUCCUGAGCUCUGAGGCCCCCUGAGUUUCCCAGCAGCCCCCUAGCUAUCUGUUUGUAGCUCGGGCCACCCACCGUCCCCUUCCAGUUGUCACUGUGGACUUAUCUUCCUCACACACAGUCUAAUACUUCCCGUCUCAGAAGCCUUCAGUGCUCACUCCUGGCCUACUUUAAAAAAAUUUUUUGAUACUGGAACUCUAAGUCAGGGCCUUCACAAUGAGCUACAGCCCCAGCCCUAUUUGUUUGUUUUUUGAAAUUUCCAAUGAUGUCUUACUAUGUCAUUAAGUUGCCAAGAGACUGGACUGGAACUUGCAGUCCUCCUGCCUCAGCCUCCCGGAGUGCUAGGUUGUAGGUUUGUACCACCACACCUGGCUCAAUCUGCAUGUUUAUGGUCAUCACAGUUAACACUUACUGGUUUCUCAGGGUAUCAGUACUGCCUCUCCUGAGUAAGUGGUUCUUCCAUGCUGUCUCAUUUGCCCUCGAAGCUCCCACCUCUGUCAUUAGUAGUACUUUGUAGAGGAUGCCACAGGGACACUGGCUGGAUGAGGACUUCAUUUCCCCUCCUUUCUUAACCCCCUGCCCCUCCUUCUUCUUCUAGUUUUUGGUGGUAAUGAUGUAGGACAGAAGAAAUAAAAACUAGGUAGAAAAGAGACAAAGAAAUCAAGAUUUAAAAAUGGAACUUUGAAGAAGAGCUGCAGCCAGGCAUAGUGGAGCACACUGUAAUCCCAGUACCUGAGAGGCUCAGGCAAGAGAAUUGCUGCAGAGUUCAAGGCCAGCCUGGGCUACACAGUGAGACCCCAUCUCAAGAAUAAAGAGGGCCAGAGAUGUAGCUCAGUGGCAUCUCACCUGCCUGACAAGCACAGGUUCUGAGUUUGAUCCCCGGUUACCCCCCCCCUCCCAAAGACCUGCAGCUUCAGGACCCAAGCCUGGUUUACUUAUUUAUUUUUUGGGGGGUGGGGGGGAUGGAUGACCCAACCCGUCAGGAUUUCCCAUGAGAACGGGCCCUUGCCACGCUCUCCCACCCAGGAGACAGACCAAGGUGUAGAUUAGGGGCCCACCGAUUCCCGCCACCCAAACCCAAGAGACCCCUGUUGCCAGCUGUACCUGCUUCACUGCUUGCCAGCUGUCCUGCUUCACUGCUCAGUCUGCGCUCUGCUCUUCAGCGCAUCCUGCAUCUCCAUCUCUAACAAACCUGAACACUGUUUCCGUGACGGGAGUCAGCGAACCUGCAAACGUACUGGAAAAUGGUGGGUUAGGUUCCUUAUUUCAGCCUUGGGGACCUCACAUACCCUACCCAGUGAUAGUACUGGAGACUGAACCCAGGGCUUUCACAUGGAGCUAUAUCCCCAGCCCCCAUGCCCUUUUUAAAAGUUUGUAAAUUUUGAAACAGAGUCUCACUAAGUCAAUAAUUGCUGAGUUCAAACUUUUGAUCCUCCUGCCUCAGCCUCCCAGAGUGCUGGGAACACCAGGCCUGGCUGAAAAUCAUUUUUGAGCAAGGGAUCUUGAAUUUUCCUUUUGCAUUGGGCCGCACAAAUUGUGUAGGUUGACUUUCUAGCCAGGGCUGGAUCCCGGGCUCAGGACUUCCUCUUUUCAUUCAGUCAUUUUGCAGUUCUAGGUAUUCUACCCACUGAGCUACAUCUUCAAAUUAUUAUUAUAUUAUUACCACAGAGUCUCAUUUAAGUUGCCCAGACUGGCCUGAAUUAGGAUUGAUUGUUCUGCCUCAGCCUCCUGAGUAGCUGGGAUUAUUGGCACACUGCCAUGCCCUGCUGGCACUAGUUUCCAACCUGGGCAGAGGGGCCUGCACAUCCUCAGGAAGGUUGUCACUGGAGCAACAGCCUGCCCAGAGGAGAGAACAGGACACAGGUGGGGACAGGUGGGGAAAGAUGGGGCUGUGGUGAGCCCCUGCCCUGCAGAGCCAGCCCCUCCUGCCCUCAGCUCCUGGUCAGCUGUCACAUGGCAGCCUCUGGCAUCCAGGAGACCCAGGGUUAGGGGAUGGGAGGGUCCCUUCCUGGGUGGGGGAUGUGGUGGCUUCCUGGAGACAGCUGGACUGAAGGCCACCCUUGGGGACAGGUGUAGUAGGAGGGCGGAGCCUGGGAGAGGCUCUAAAUUUGAGACCUGUGGUGGCAGAGUCUUGGGCCACACCCUGCUGGGCCCAGGCCAGCUCUAAGGCCCCACUGGAGAUGGCCCUUGCCCUGUCAUCUUGUUCCUCACCUCCUUCCAUUGCAGGCUUGAACCUUAUCCUGCUCCUGCCUGAUGUCCCCGCCUCUGUCACUGUCUCGCAGGCCACCUUUUGUGGGCAUGGCUGCGUCCUGCACCGCCCUUCCCUCCUUUCUGUAGGGAGGGGCCCUCCCUGUGUCCCUGCACUGGGGCCCGAGGUCCUGGAGUCACCAGCAGCCCACGACCGAGGGCCCCACCGCAGAGUCCAGCCGGGGCUCGGUCCCCGGGAGCG